rnacentral:rRNA from 1 species
ACGAACGCUGGCGGCUUGCUUAACACCUGCAAGUCGAACGGAAAGGCCCUGCUUUUGUGGGGUGCUCGAGUGGCGAACGGGUGAGUAACACGUGAGUAACCUGCCCUUGACUUUGGGAUAACUUCAGGAAACUGGGGCUAAUACCGGAUAGGAGCUCCUGCUGCAUGGUGGGGGUUGGAAAGUUUCGGCGGUUGGGGAUGGACUCGCGGCUUAUCAGCUUGUUGGUGGGGUAGUGGCUUACCAAGGCUUUGCCGGGUAGCCGGCCUGAGAGGGUGACCGGCCACAUUGGGACUGAGAUACGGCCCAGACUCCUACGGGAGGCAGCAGUGGGGAAUAUUGCACAAUGGGCGGAAGCCUGAUGCAGCAACGCCGCGUGCGGGAUGACGGCCUUCGGGGUGUAAACCGCUUUCGCCUGUGACGAAGCGUGAGUGACGGUAAUGGGUAAAGAAGCACCGGCUAACUACGUG